GUGAAUCAUCAAAUUUUUGAACGCAAAUUGCACUCUCUGGUAUUCCGGAGAGUAUGCCUGUUUGAGAGUCAGUUUAUAUAAAAAUCGGUGUGGUUGCUGCCUUUCGUGGUGACGCACCGGAUUUGGGUCGUCGUGCUGUCGGUUAAGUGACCUAAAGUUUUGCAUGAUUCGCUUCGAACGUAUGUAAUUGAUUGUACGUACGUUAGCGAUAUCGAAUACUACGUGUGGACAUCCUCAUG
rnacentral:misc_RNA from 1 species